rnacentral:rRNA from 1 species
GAGCAUUCCACUCUGCGUCGAAGGUGGGGCGUGAGCCCUGCUGGAGCGUGUGGAAAAGCAAAUGUAGGUAUAAGUAACGAUAAAGGGGGCGGGAAACCCCCUCGCCGAAAGACUAAGGUUUCCUGAUCAACGCUAAUCGGAUCAGGGUCAGUCGGGUCCUAAGGCUCAGCCGAACGGCGAGGCCGAUGGCAGAACCGGUUAAUAUUCCGGUACUACCCUUUAGGGUGACGUGGAGACGCAGUCGUGACAAUGCCGCCAGCUGACGGAAUAGCUGGUUAAAGGGUGUA